UCUCUCGCUGAUUGACUUACUCUCUUCUCGUCCUUCACAAUGUAAUUCCUCCCAUGCUUCUUGGUGAGGUGCGGUGCCAGCACAUCAAAGCGUCGUCGGAACUCAGAGAACACCAUGUGAUCGGGGUAACCUGUGAAGGGAUCCACUCAGAGCCUUGAGGGCAUCUGCCUUGGGCAAUAUGCAGUGAACAAAGUGAAUCCUGGACCUCCGCACCAUGUCAAGGAGGGCAUCCUGGAAAAGACAGAGGAGGGUUAGGGACCCUGUGCAGGCACAUGACUCUCCUCUCACCACUUGAAGCUUUAUCUGAAUGCACAAGGACUUCUUCUUGAUAGCAGCCACCCCUGUGGUGAAGGUCUUCCUCAUGCUAGUGGCCCGUCGCAAGGACAGCUGGG